CCUACGGGAGGCAGCAGUCGAGAAUCAUUCACAAUGGGGGAAACCCUGAUGGUGCGACGCCGCGUGGGGGAAUGAAGGUCUUCGGAUUGUAAACCCCUGUCAUGUGGGAGCAAAUUAAAAAGAUAGUACCACAAGAGGAAGAGACGGCAAACUCUGUGCCAGCAGCCGCGGUAAUACAGAGGUCUCAAGCGUUGUUCGGAAACACUGGGCGUAAAGCGGGCGUAGGCUGUUUUGUAAGGCGUGUGUGAAAGGCGCGGGCUCAACCCGCGGACGGCACAUGAUACUGCGAGACUAGAGUAGUGGAGGGGGAACCGGAAUUCUCGGUGUAGCAGUGAAAUGCGUAGAUAUCGAGAGGAACACUCGUGGCGAAGGCGGGUUCCUGGACAUUAACUGACGCUGAGGCACGAAGGCCAGGGGAGCGAAAGGGAUUAGAUACCCCUGUAGUC
rnacentral:rRNA from 1 species